CGUGCUUAACACAUGCAAGUCGAACGGUGAAGGGACCAGCUUGCUGGUUCUGGAUGAGUGGCGAACGGGUGAGUAACACGUGAGUAACCUGCCCCCUUCUUCUGGAUAACCGCAUGAAAGUGUGGCUAAUACGGGAUAUUCUGGGUCUGUCGCAUGACGGGCCCGGGAAAGAUAUUGUUUCGGUGGGGGAUGGGCUCGCGGCCUAUCAGCUUGUUGGUGGGGUGAUGGCCUACCAAGGCGGWGACGGGUAGCCGGCCUGAGAGGGUGGACGGUCACACUGGGACUGAGACACGGCCCAGACUCCUACGGGAGGCAGCAGUGGGGAAUAUUGCACAAUGGGCGCAAGCCUGAUGCAGCGACGCCGCGUGAGGGAUGGAGGCCUUCGGGUUGUAAACCUCUUUCGCCAGUGAAGCAGGCYUGCUCCUUGUGGGUGGGUUGACGGUAGCUGGAUAAGAAGCGCCGGCUAACUACGUGCCAGCAGCCGCGGUAAUACGUAGGGCGCGAGCGUUGUCCGGAAUUAUUGGGCGUAAAGAGCUCGUAGGCGGCUGGUCGCGUCUGUCGUGAAAUCCUCUGGCUUAACUGGGGGCUUGCGGUGGKUACGGGCCGGCUUGAGUGCGGUAGGGGAGACUGGAACUCCUGGUGUAGCGGUGGAAUGCGCAGAUAUCAGGAAGAACACCGGUGGCGAAGGCGGGUCUCUGGGCCGUUACUGACGCUGAGGAGCGAAAGCGUGGGGAGCGAACAGGAUUAGAUACCCU
rnacentral:rRNA from 1 species